AUAUCAGUAGCGGAGGAAAAGAAACUAACAAGGAUUCCCGUAGUAACGGCGAGUGAACUGGGAUCAGCUCAAAUUUAAAAUCUGGCCUUCGGGUCCGAAUUGUAGUCUAAAGAGGUGCUAUCAUGCAGACGACGUGCGUACAAGUGUCCUGGAAUGGACCAUCACAGAGGGUGAGAAUCCCCGUUCGAUUGGACACUG
rnacentral:rRNA from 1 species